CAAUAGCGUAUACUAAUGUUGUUGCAGUUAAAAAGCUCGUAGUUGAACUUCUGGUAGGAGUGUCCCGGCCUUUUUGUUUUUACAAAUUGUAUGCUGUGUGACAUCUCUGGCCAUCCUUCUUCUUUGUUUAAAGAAGAUCUUUCACUGUAAAAAAAUUAGGGUGUUCAAAGCAAAAGUUUCUUUGGAAUAUAUUAGUAUGGGAUGAUAAGAUAGGCACUAGAUGCUAUUUUGUUGGUUUGCACAUUUAGAGAAUGAUUAACAGGGACAGUUGGGGGUAUUCGUAUUUACAUGUCAGAGGUGAAAUUCUUGGAUUUUGGAAAGACGAACUACUGCGAAAGCAUUUACCAAGGAUGUUUUCAUUAA
rnacentral:rRNA from 1 species